AUAUUAGGCAUUAAAAGACAUAUAGCUAAUAUUUAGAACAAGAAAUACUCUAGAUAAUAUAAUCAUCCAGCUUUAUUUUGCAUCACCUGUGGGCCCUUCAUGUUUAGCAGUAAUAAGUAUCCCUGGGCCUUGAUGAAAACUCAGGUUGGUUCCACAGCUUUUCUGCACACUCUUGGCUACUAGAUUGUCCUGAGGUCAUUAUAAUACUAAACAUGCUUCAUAGAUUUCAGUCAAAGUUUCAAACUCCUCCCUUUCUGGAACAUGCCGUGAGAGGGGGAUGCUAGGAGAAUGGCUGAUUUUUCUAGCUCCUUACUGUUUGCACCCCCUUGCCCACUUGGCUCUGUCUUCUUGGUUACAGCCUCCACCUCUGGGAGGUCCUACAAGAUAAGCCUCAAGAUGACUUCACACAAGCUGCAUUCACAAGUGCCAGCUCUGUCACCUCCAGAAGCACAGUCCUCUCCCAGUUUGGCCAUCAAGGCAGAUGGCUGGCUACCACUCUGCCUCUAGAUUCUUGAAGCAUGAGUCAGCUUCAAGGCCACCAUGCUUCCUGCUCAUAGUGGUUAUGUUGUGUUUUACAGCCAGUGGUCCUGAAGUCCUGCAUCCCAAACAGAGUUGUAGUGAGCUGCUGGGUGUCAUGCAGCUUUUCCUUCAGACUGAUUCUUCUCAACAGCUCCUCUCCUUUCUCUCAACUUUUGUAUUCUCAAAGCCAAUGAGGAGGCCCAGAGUCACAGAGCUGAGAGUGAAGGGGAGGCAAAGGGCAAGUUCUACCUACAGAAGGGCACCAACUAGUAAAUGAAGAGCAAUAAUGCAACUAGGACAUACCCUACUUACAAUAUGCAUCAUAAAAACUGAUGUAGGCAGCAAUCAUGAAUGAAUACUAAAUUAAAGUUAUAGGGAACUAGGCUAUCCACAUUGUUUCAAAGAACCAAUUAGUAAGUUAUUUAUUAACUAUAAAGUAAAACAAAUGCUGUCAUAUGGAAAAUCAUGGCAGAUAUCACCCUCAGAGACAAAGAAUUCCAUGCACAAUAAUGAGACACAUGUAGCUUUCUGGGCCCUUGCAGAGAGACACUGAGAAGCCCCAACACUGCCUGUGUCAUAUUCUUACCAAAGGUUUAGUCCAAUUAAGAUAAAAGAAUCAAAUAAAUCCAAAUUGAGAGUCUCCAAAACGACUGACCUGCCCUAAGUAGAAGUAGUGUCACCAAAGAGAAAAAAAAAAUGGAAUUAUUGCAGAUUAAACAAAUAAUAACUAAGUAGGAAAUAUGAAAAUGGCCUAUUAUGCAAGAGUGUGUUGAUCCUAAAUUUUUUGAGUGUGAUGAUUGUCCCAUGGGCAUAUGCAGGAAUUCUUAGUGAAGUAAUGGAGAAAGUAUUUCUUUGUGAAAUGCCACAAUGAGUAAGAAUAAAAUAAAAAUAAAAGCAAAAUGCAGCACAGUUUGGUAAGUGUUGCUGGAGAGUACUGGGUAAGUACAGAAAUGGAGACUAGUCACCUUACUCUGAAUUUCAUUUCAGUUAUGUCCUGGGGUUUGACUAAAGCUUUCAUCUUUAGUAUUCAUGUUAUACAAACAUGCACAGCAACAACAAUAACAACCUCAAAAUGUUUGUGUGAGGCAUUAUGAUUUGUGAAACAUUUCCAUUGAAAUGUUCUCAUUUAUCUUCACAACCAUGUUGGAAAUAGCUAGGGAACGUAGUGUUUCUAUUCUUCCCAUUUCAUAAAUGAAAAACUGGAGAACCAGGAAGCCUGAUUAACUCAGCCAAGUUCACAUACUUAAAGACUAGCACCUUAUUUCUUGGAUUGUAUUUUUUCACCACACUCGCUAAACAUCCAGGAGGAAUUUAACAAAAUCUCUUACUCGCCUUAAUUCUUUUGUAGAGAAAGUAAGAAAGAGGCCGGGAGGUCUUUGUUUAUCUCCACUGACUGAGAAUUUUAGAUCAGCAGUGACACAGGUGGCUAUCUAGGCCUUUCACUCGGUGUUGCUGAGCGGGCAGGAGCUCGCAGCCCGCCUGUGCAGACCGGCCAGCUCCCUUGGGCCGGGUUAGUCCUCACUGAGUGGACAGUGCUGCAGGCCGGCCACACUCGGAGGAACUCACAGACAUAAGUUCUCCCGAGACUGAGUCAACGUGCCUUUGCAAACACGAAGUUCAGUCCUGUCACCACUGCAGAUACUGUUCAGGGAGAUGACAACUCACCCAGGAGGAAGCACACACGAGUCCCAUGAGUCACACCCCACAGCCCAGAAUACCAAGCAGCUCCGCUUUCCACCUGACAGCUGGGUGAGCAGAAGCGACCUCCGUUUUUCUUUUUGUUUUUUUUUUCCUCCUUCCUCUCUCUCUCUCUCGUUAUUCUUAACUAAAAGCAGCUUAACUAAAAAGAAGAAGGAGGAGGAGGAGGAGAAGGAGGAUGAAGAGGAAGAGGAAGAGGAAGAAGAAGAGGAGGAGGAGGUGGAGGAGGAGAGAAAGGCACCCUCCCUGACCUUGGGGAGGCCUGGAAACUUUGUUAGUCAUAAUAAGCCUCAAACACAUGGACCAUCUCGUUUUUCUUUUAGUAAAGCCUGGGGCUUGAGUCUUUCUACUUUACUAUUAAGUGAAGAUGUGAAGAAAAAGGGGGGAGGAUAAAAGAAACAGCUCAAGGGUAUAGAAUAAUGUAAACAUACCCUUGUCCAGACUCACCCCUCCAACCAGGACUUUGUGGAAUGAAGGUGGAAAUCCUGUUUCCAACAAAAGCAUAAAAUAAAGGGCCAGAUGACUAUAAACUGGUUUUUGGAAUGUGGGUUUUUUUUUUUUUUUUUUAAAGCCAGCUCUUCACAUAUUUUCUGUAGCCUUGGCAACCCUAACUUUUCAGAAUGCUCUAGUGGAGGUAAUUUUUCUAAAGCUCCUUAUUCUUGCCAGAAACCCAGGUGGAAAAAAUAAUUUGUUAACUGGAGCUCUGUUUCUGAUGGAUGCAUCUCAGAAUGACUCCCAUCCACAAGUCUGUGGGCCUCUGUUAACUCUGGAAAAUUUUACAACAGGCCUCAAAGACCCUUCAAGCCUGAGGCCGCAGGUCAGCUAUUCAGAAUGGGCUUAGUAGUGUGCCUGACCUGUGUCACUCAACAAGGAUUUGGUUCCGUUCAAAAAAGUAAGGGAAAGAAACAAGAGGAUAAAUGAUACCAGUUGGACAAACAAAUAGCUUAUGAAGCUUAGGCAGAAUUUACGUAACUCCCUUGGUAAAACCAAGUGGAUUAGUAACCACUGAGGCACAGUAGCCACAGACACAGAAGAAAAUGUGUGUGUUGAACAUAGAAGAAAUGGAAAGAUGUGAAAUUCACAGCACAUUCAUAUGUGUUUUUGAAAUACAUUAAAUAUACAUGAAAGAUGAAAAUGUAAUGGGGUCUUAAAUCAGCUAUUGUAUUGGUGAUUUAGCUAGCUGCCCAUCAAGCUAACUGGUGAGCUACAGCUAAUGGCCAUGUGGACUUGUCCUUGAGUCUUUUCAGAGAAAAUGUCUUUUCCAGUCUGCUCAGCUCGCUUGCUCAAAUCUCCUACCUGUUCCUGGCGACCACGAGGAAGGCCAGUGUAGAAGCGAGAGCACAGGUCACAUGGCAGUGCAGGUCUUAAGAUUUUGGUAGUUGGGCCCUUCACACCUGCGUGUGUCUAUCCUAGUUGUUUUAACCACAUCUUUCUUCUCUUCAUGCAUUAUAAUUGAUUUGCUAACCCCCCUGACUCAUGCAUCUGAAUUUAUUAUGCGAGUCUUCUUUUCUGAGCCUCUAGGAUAACCUGGUGCUAUAUUUGUAGGCCACCAUUGCAUCAAAGUAAUUUCCUACAUGAAAAGUUCACAGCUGGGUCAUAUAAACAAUAACAGAAAAUGAAACCUCUCACCUUUUGAGUAGUCACUAUGUGCUAGGUAACAUCCUAAGCGUAUAAUAAUCCUCACAUGACUCUGUAGAGUAGGUAGUAUUACCUGCAUUUUACAGGUAAAGAAAUGAAGGACGGGACUGGUUAAGUAACUUGCCUAAGACAAGUGGAAAUUAGUUGGUAAUAGAAAGAGGAUUUGAAUUAGGGUUUAACCCUAAAGACAUGCCUGUUCUAUAUUGGGGAGGACCAAGCUGUUCCCCUGUAUCCUUCUCAGUUACACUUUCAUUGAUAAACUUACCUAAAAUCUACACCCUAUAAUUUCCUAUUCCUUACCCAGGAUUUAUGUCUCUUUCUACAGCAUUGUGGCAUCAGCAUCUCCAUAUCCUUUCCUACUUGUUGUCUGUCUCCCCAACAAGAAUGUAAUUUCAAUAAUGGCUUCUCCUAGUCCCUUGAACAGUGAUUGCCACAGAGCAGGUAGCCAAUGAGUAUCAACAGAGUCAAAGAGUAAUCCUGAGUUUUUUCUAGAGACAUCUUUGAAAAUAGUCACAGAUACACGAUUGCCAUUCAGACUGAGCAAGUUAACCCUGGAAAAUCUGUGACUAAAUUAAGUGGCAGGAAGGCAUUCAGAAGAGAAUCUCAAGGAGAGAGAGAGAAAAAAAAAAGGUUAGAAGAACAUCCCAUUGCUAGCUCUGUGUUUUGAUUCCUAGGUGUUAUGCUUUAUACAUUGUGUCAAUUGAGAAGUCUAGAAGCUCAGCUAAGUGACUCAGCAGCUCUCUGUCCUGAGGUGUAGAGAACAAGCAGUUACCUUUCUAGGACACUGUUCCUUGUGUCAGUUUGAGAAGGUCUGAAGCCUUUAACUAAAGUGAUCAGCAGGGGGCCCCUGUCCCUAGUUAUCCUGGUCCUGUGCAAAGGAGGGCAAGGGGAUUUUGUGAGUGCUACACCUGCCCUGAAGGGGUGGGUGGUGGCCUGUGUACAAUGUAAGGGAGGAGAAGAGGCUUGUUUCCCCCCCUUUCACCCAGGCUGCUGCCUUGAAUUGUUGCUCCUGUGCCAUGCCACCCUGCCUUGGAGCCAGCUGCCUAUGGAUUGAAACCUCCAAAAACUGUAAGAAAUAAAUUUCUCCUUCCUUCAUGUUAGGCAUCAGGUAUUUUGUCCCAAAAACAAGAAAAAAGUAACCAAGACGCUAUGUGACCUACUCAGACCCAGGAUAGCUCUGUAGCUUGGCCACCUCCAUUGGUUUUCAUAUUGUAAUUUCAGGGCCUUUCCCAUGGUCAUUUCAGAAGAGCUAGAGAAGGGAGAAUUUAUACGUAUGUAUGUUCAUUGUCUGGGGCUUGUGUUUUUUUGCCUCAGCUGUGUGGGUGGCACUUAUGCUUGCAGUAACUCAUUCAACUGGUGGCUUAUAUGUUACCUCCAUUUUUAGGUAAAGAAACGGAGCGUGACUGAGGAUAGUAACCUGCCCAGGCUUAAAGUCAGGAUUGGAAGACAUGCCCAUCACUGCCAGAUAUGGAAGCAGAGACAGAUGGUGUGGCAGAUGCUGCAAAAGAAAAUGACUUACUACUAGGUAAACCAGGAUCAGUUGUAUUUCUACAUACCAAUUUUGAGCUACUUGGAAAAGAAGUCAAGAAAGCAAUACAAUUUUCAAUAGCUACAAACAAAACAGGACAGAAUGAAAAGAAGGAAUAAAUUUAACUAAGAAGUAAAACAUCUUUACAAUUAAAGUUAUAAAACAAUAAUAAAUAAAAUUGAAGAGUACCAAAAAAUGUAGAAAAAAAUCCCAUGGUUAUGGAUUGAAAGAUUGUCGUUAAAAUGUUCGUAACACCCGAAGUUUAAUUACAGAUUAAAUUCAACCCUGCUUAAAAUACCAAUGAUAUUACUCAGAGGACUGGACAAAAAUUCCUGAAUUCAUAUGAAGCCACAAGAUGCCAAGGUAGCCAAGAGCAGAACACACAGGAGGCAUCACACUGACUCCAAGAACUGCAGCAUCAAGAUGGCCUUGGAUUAGCAUUAAAAACAGACACAUAAACCUAUGGACAAAAUAUCCUAGAAGUAACCUCAUCUCUAGGGCUAACUCAUCUUCAGUAAGUGCUGAACUACACCGGGGAACUGUCUUUCCAAUACAUUAUGCUGGGAAAACUGAACCAUCCUCUUGCAAAAGAAUGAAACUAGAUGCCUUUUACUGUAUACAAAACAUCAACUCCAAGUGGACUAAAGACUUAAAUGUAAGAGCUGAAACUGUGAAACUACUAGAGGAAAUGAGCAAGCAAUGCUUCAGAAAAAAGGAAUGGGUAAAGAGUUUUUGAUUAGAUCUCAGAAGCACAAGAAACAAAAGCAAACAGACAAGUGGGUUACCUAUAGAGGCAAUCUGCAGAAUAAGAGAAAGUAUUUACCAGCUGUACAUCUCUCCAGGGAUUGUUAAGAAUUUCUAAGAAACUCAACUCAGUAACAAAUCAUCUUCACUAUCUAAUUAAAACGUAAAAUGAACAUUUAAUUUUAAAAGAUUGAAUCAACAUUUUUCAAAAUAAGGCAUAUAAAUGGCCGAUAGAGAUACAAAAAAAAGUUCAACAUCACUAAUCAUAACAAGAAUGCAAAUCAAAACCACAGUGAACACCACUUUACGCCAGUUAGAAUGGCUCUCAUUAAAAAGAUGCAAAAGAAGCUCUGGCAGGACUGGAGAAAAGGCCACCCACACACACUGCGGGUGGAGAUGAACAAUGUAAUCCGCACAGGAUCCAGCUAUCCCACUGUAUAGAUCCACAGGAAAUGAAAUCCACGUGUUUAAGAGACUUCUGCACACCCAGGUCAGUUGCGGCUCCAUUCACAGUAGCCAAGAAAUUGAAUCAACUGUGUCCUUCAACUGUUGAAUGAAUAAGGAAAAUGUGAUAUAAAGAUAUACAUAUUACUCAGCCAUAGAUGGGUGAAAUUCUGUCAUAUAUAUUUACAUGAAUGUAACGGGAAGACAUGAUGUUAAGUGAAAAUAAGCCAGACACGAAAAGACAAAUACCAUAUGAUCUUACUCAUAUGGAAUCUAAAAAUGUCGAUCUCAUAGAAGUUAAAAAUAAAAUCAUGUCUCCAGAGGCUGGGAGAAUAUUGGGGAAGAAAAAUGGGGAAUAUUUGGUUCUAUUGCACAGUAGGGUGACUACUGAUAACAAUAUUGUGGUGUAAAUUUCUAAAGAAGCGAGAGGGGUUCUUAAUGUUUUAAGCAUAAAAAUGAAAAAUUUGAAGACAUGGUUAUGUUUAUUUUGACUUAAACAUUAAACAAUGUAUACAUAUAUCAAAAUAUCACAUAGU